CGCAGCCGCGGUAAUUCCAGCUCCAAUAGCGUAUAUUAAAGUUGUUGCAGUUAAAAAGCUCGUAGUUGAAUUUCGGGGUCAGCAGGUUGGUCGUGCCACUGGUAUGUACUGGCUUAGCUGAUUCCUCCCUUUUGUAGAACCGUAAUGCCAUUAAUUUGGUGUUGCGGGGAAAACAAGACUGUUACUUUGAAAAAAUUAGAGUGUUUAAAGCAGGCUAACGCCCGAAUACAUUAGCAUGGAAUAAUGAAAUAGGACGUUCGAUCCUAUUUUGUUGGUUUCUAGGAUUGACGUAAUGAUUAAUAGGGACAGUUGGGGGCAUUAGUAUUCAAUUGUCAGAGGUGAAAUUCUUGGAUUUAUUGAAGACUGACUACUGCGAAAGCAUUUGUCAAGGAUGUUUUCAUUAAUCAAGAACGAAAGUUAGGGGAUCGAAGACGAUCAGAUACCGUCGUAGUCUUAACCAUAAGCUAUGCCGACUAGGGAUCGGAUGAUGUUAAUUUUUUAAUGACUCAUUCGGCGCCUU
rnacentral:rRNA from 1 species